rnacentral:rRNA from 1 species
UACGUAGGGGGCAAGCGUUGUCCGGAAUUAUUGGGCGUAAAGAGCGUGUAGGCGGUCCGGUAAGUCAGCUGUGAAAGUCAAGGGCUCAACCCAUGAAUGCCGGUUGAUACUGUCGGGCUAGAGUCCGGAAGAGGCGAGUGGAAUUCCCGGUGUAGCGGUGAAAUGCGCAGAUAUCGGGAGGAACACCAAUGGCGAAGGCAGCUCGCUGGGACGGUACUGACGCUGAGACGCGAAAGCGUGGGGAGCAAACAGG